GACGAACGCUGGCGGCGUGCCUAACACAUGCAAGUCGAACGGACACUCGUUUAGAUUGUAGGAGCUUGCUCCUGAUUACUAAACAUUUGAGCGAGAGGCGGAUGGGCUAGUAAUACGUGGGUAACCAGGCCUAAAGCGGUGGAUAACAUUUGGAAACAGAUGCUAAUACUGCGUAAAACCUAACACCGCAUGGUGUGGGGUGGAUAGCUGGUUACCGCUAUCACUUUAGGAUGGACCCGCGGUGCAUUAUUUAGUUGUUGAGGUAAAGGCUCACCAAGACCGUGAUGCAUAGACGACCUGUGAGGGUGAUCGGCCGCACUGGAACUGAGACACGGCCCAGAGUCCUACGGGAGGCCGCAGUAGGGAAUCGUCGACAGUGGACGAAAGUCUGAUGGAGCAACGGCACGUGAGUGAAGAAGGUGUUCGGAUCGUAAAACUCUGUUGUUGGAGAAGAAUGUAUCUGAUAGUAACUGAUCAGGUAGUGACGGUAACCAACCAGAAAGCCACGGCUAACUACGUG
rnacentral:rRNA from 1 species